CUUUACUGUAGCUUUACAUUGGACUUUGAACAGAUCUGUGUAGGAUAGGUGGGAGGCUUUGAAGCGGUGCCGCUAGGUGUCGUGGAGCCAACGUUGAAAUACCACCCUGGUGUGUUUGAGGUUCUAACCUUGGCCCGUUAUCCGGGUUGGGGACAGUGUAUGGUGGGCAGUUUGACUGGGGCGGUCUCCUCCCAAAGCGUAACGGAGGAGUUCGAAGGUACGCUAGGCACGGUCGGAAAUCGUGCUGAUAGUGCAUAGGCAUAAGCGUGCUUGACUGCGAGACUGACAAGUCGAGCAGGUACGAAAGUAGGACUAAGUGAUCCGGUGGUUCUGUAUGGAAGGGCCAUCGCUCAACGGAUAAAAGGUA
rnacentral:rRNA from 1 species